AAAUUGAAGAGUUUGAUCAUGGCUCAGAUUGAACGCUGGCGGCAGGCCUAACACAUGCAAGUCGAACGGUAACAGGAAGCAGCUUGCUGCUUUGCUGACGAGUGGCGGACGGGUGAGUAAUGUCUGGGAAACUGCCUGAUGGAGGGGGAUAACUACUGGAAACGGUGGCUAAUACCGCAUAACGUCGCAAGACCAAAGAGGGGGACCUUCGGGCCUCUUGCCAUCAGAUGUGCCCAGAUGGGAUUAGCUAGUUGGUGAGGUAACGGCUCACCAAGGCGACGAUCCCUAGCUGGUCUGAGAGGAUGACCAGCCACACUGGAACUGAGACACGGUCCAGACUCCUACGGGAGGCAGCAGUGGGGAAUAUUGCACAAUGGGCGCAAGCCUGAUGCAGCCAUGCCGCGUGUAUGAAGAAGGCCUUCGGGUUGUAAAGUACUUUCAGCGGGGAGGAAGGUGUUGUGGUUAAUAACCGCAGCAAUUGACGUUACCCGCAGAAGAAGCACCGGCUAACUCCGUGCCAGCAGCCGCGGUAAUACGGAGGGUGCAAGCGUUAAUCGGAAUUACUGGGCGUAAAGCGCACGCAGGCGGUCUGUCAAGUCGGAUGUGAAAUCCCCGGGCUCAACCUGGGAACUGCAUUCGAAACUGGCAGGCUUGAGUCUUGUAGAGGGGGGUAGAAUUCCAGGUGUAGCGGUGAAAUGCGUAGAGAUCUGGAGGAAUACCGGUGGCGAAGGCGGCCCCCUGGACAAAAGACUGACGCUCAGGUGCGAAAGCGUGGGGAGCAAACAGGAUUAGAUACCCUGGUAGUCCACGCCGUAAACGAUGUCUACUUGGAGGUUGUGCCCUUGAGGCGUGGCUUCCGGAGCUAACGCGUUAAGUAGACCGCCUGGGGAGUACGGCCGCAAGGUUAAAACUCAAAUGAAUUGACGGGGGCCCGCACAAGCGGUGGAGCAUGUGGUUUAAUUCGAUGCAACGCGAAGAACCUUACCUGGUCUUGACAUCCACAGAAGAAUCCAGAGAUGGAUUUGUGCCUUCGGGAACUGUGAGACAGGUGCUGCAUGGCUGUCGUCAGCUCGUGUUGUGAAAUGUUGGGUUAAGUCCCGCAACGAGCGCAACCCUUAUCCUUUGUUGCCAGCGGUCCGGCCGGGAACUCAAAGGAGACUGCCAGUGAUAAACUGGAGGAAGGUGGGGAUGACGUCAAGUCAUCAUGGCCCUUACGACCAGGGCUACACACGUGCUACAAUGGCGCAUACAAAGAGAAGCGACCUCGCGAGAGCAAGCGGACCUCAUAAAGUGCGUCGUAGUCCGGAUUGGAGUCUGCAACUCGACUCCAUGAAGUCGGAAUCGCUAGUAAUCGUGGAUCAGAAUGCCACGGUGAAUACGUUCCCGGGCCUUGUACACACCGCCCGUCACACCAUGGGAGUGGGUUGCAAAAGAAGUAGGUAGCUUAACCUUCGGGAGGGCGCUUACCACUUUGUGAUUCAUGACUGGGGUGAAGUCGUAACAAGGUAACCGUAGGGGAACCUGCGGUUGGAUCACCUCCUUA
rnacentral:rRNA from 1 species